rnacentral:rRNA from 1 species
CCUACGGUGUGCAGCAGUGGGGAAUAUUGGGCAAUGGGCGCAAGCCUGACCCAGCAACGCCGCGUGAAGGAAGAAGGCUUUCGGGUUGUAAACUUCUUUUAAGAGGGAAGAGCAGAAGACGGUACCUCUUGAAUAAGCCACGGCUAACUACGUGCCAGCAGCCGCGGUAAUACGUAGGUGGCAAGCGUUGUCCGGAUUUACUGGGUGUAAAGGGCGUGUAGCCGGGCAGACAAGUCAGAUGUGAAAUCCGGGGGCUCAACCCCCGAACUGCAUUUGAAACUGUUGGGCUUGAGUAUCGGAGAGGCAGGCGGAAUUCCGGGUGUAGCGGUGAAAUGCGUAGAGAUUAGGAGGAACACCAGGGGCGAAGGCGGCCUGCUGGACGACAACUGACGGUGAGGCGCGAAAGCGUGGGGAGCAAACAGGAUUAGAUACCCUUGUAGUC